GACUAAAAUCUUUCAACUUGUUUUCUCUAGAAAAGAGAAGGGUCAGAGGGAAUUUGAUUGAGGUGUUUAAAAUUAUCAAGGGUAUUGAUGAUAUAGAGGCAUCAAACUUUGUGUUUAGCAGUAAAAACAAUAGGACAAGAGGUCAUAAAUUCAAAUUUUGUCAGUGUAUGAGUUGUCUGCAGUUUAAACAGUAUUACUUUUCAAUCAAGGUGGUUGG